GGUGGCCGUGCCUGUCAGGCCGCGUUAGUCACGGGGCGGCCGCUGCCGCCGAGGGGAGGUGAGCGGGAGCGGCCCGCCGCACCUGCGCGUCCUGCUGAAACGUCCCUCCCCGCGCUAUGGCAUAAACUUACUGGGACAGAAAGGAAUGUGAAGAGUUCAUCUGGUCCAUCCUGUGAUUUUACUACCACAAAGCAGGAUCCAAUCUCCCCAUCUCUUUCCUGUUCUCUUCAUGUGACCCUGGGAGACUGCAAUCCCUGACCCCUCCUCGCUUUCAGUCCUACAUACCUGUUCAAGAAAGGUCUGGAGAAAGAAGGCAAGUAGUGAUGUCAACAUUUCCUCAUAGUUCUUUUUUUCUCCUAAACAACCAUGGUGAAUGAACAGAAUUAAUGGCAGAUGAAAUUCGCAGCCCCUAGGAAAGGAGUACACACUGCAGGGGAGGAUGGAUGGAUGGAUGGUGCUGAAGUGGUGACAUCAGCUCAAAAGAGGGACAUGGCGACAGCUGGCUGAUAAACUGAUGUAUGCAGCUCCAUUGAAGAAGAAGAACCAAUCCCCAACAAACCCCCAAUUUUAGGAUGCUUAAGGAAAGGGGAUACUGAAUGAUGAACAAUGAAAUGUUACUGUAA